rnacentral:lncRNA from 1 species
GUGUAUUUAAUGAGAGAUAUAGAAAAUAGAGUAUGUAGAAAUUCAUUGCAAAUCACCCAAUGACAAGAGCUAUAUCUCUCAAAAGUCAAAACUACAUGCAAAAGCUUUAUAAAUGAUGGAAUAGAAUAUGGACCAUGCAUUCCCUUCCAAAAAUUGUGCACCUUUCAAACCAGGAUAGUGAAAUAAUAUGUAAUCCGAAAACAG